rnacentral:rRNA from 1 species
CAGUAGCCGCGGUAAUACGAAGGGGGCUAGCGUUGCUCGGAAUGACUGGGCGUAAAGGGCGCGUAGGCGGCACACACAGUCAGGCGUGAAAUUCCUGGGCUUAACCUGGGGGCUGCGUUUGAUACAUGUGAGCUAGAGGAUGGAAGAGGCUCGUGGAAUUCCCAGUGUAGAGGUGAAAUUCGUAGAUAUUGGGAAGAACACCGGUGGCGAAGGCGGCGAGCUGGUCCAUUACUGACGCUGAGGCGCGAAAGCGUGGGGAGCAAACAGGAUUAGAUACCCGGGUAGUCCCUGUCUCUUAUAA